rnacentral:rRNA from 1 species
GGGGAAUAUUGCACAAUGGGGGAAACCCUGAUGCAGCAACGCCGCGUGAGUGAAGAAGUAUUUCAGUAUGUAAAGCUCUAUCAGCAGGAAAGAAAAUGACGGUACCUGACUAAGAAGCCCCGGCUAACUACGUGCCAGCAGCCGCGGUAAUACGUAGGGGGCAAGCGUUAUCCGGAAUUACUGGGUGUAAAGGGAGCGUAGGCGGCACGCCAAGCCAGAUGUGAAAGCCCGAGGCUUAACCUCGCGGAUUGCAUUUGGAACUGGCGAGCUAGAGUACAGGAGAGGAAAGCGGAAUUCCUAGUGUAGCGGUGAAAUGCGUAGAUAUUAGGAAGAACACCAGUGGCGAAGGCGGCUUUCUGGACUGAAACUGACGCUGAGGCUCGAAAGCGUGGGGAGCAAACAGGAUUAGAUACCCUGGUAGUCCACGCCGUAAACGAUGAGUGCUAGGUGUCGGGGAGGAAUCCUCGGUGCCGCAGCUAACGCAAUAAGCACUCCACCUGGGGAGUACGACCGCAAGGUUGAAACUCAAAGGAAUUGACGGGGGCCCGCACAAGCGGUGGAGCAUGUGGUUUAAUUCGAAGCAACGCGAAGAACCUUACCAAGGCUUGACAUCCCGAUGACCGCUCUAGAGAUAGAGCUUCUCUUCGGAGCAUCGGUGACAGGUGGUGCAUGGUUGUCGUCAGCUCGUGUCGUGAGAUGUUGGGUUAAGUCCCGCAACGAGCGCAACCCUUAUCCUUAGUAGCCAUCAUUGAGUUGGGCACUCUAGGGAGACUGCCGUGGAUAACACGGAGGAAGGUGGGGAUGACGUCAAAUCAUCAUGCCCCUUAUGUCUUGGGCUACACACGUGCUACAAUGGCUGGUAACAGAGUGAAGCGAGACGGCGACGUUAAGCAAAUCACAAAAACCCAGUCCCAGUUCGGAUUGUAGUCUGCAACUCGACUACAUGAAGCUGGAAUCGCUAGUAAUCGCGAAUCAGAAUGUCGCGGUGAAUACGUUCCCG